rnacentral:rRNA from 1 species
UACGAAGGGGGCUAGCGUUGCUCGGAAUUACUGGGUGUAAAGGGCGCGUAGGCGGAUAGUUUAGUCAGAGGUGAAAGCCCAGGGCUCAACCUUGGAAUUGCCUUUGAUACUGGCUAUCUUGAGUACGGGAGAGGUGUGUGGAACUCCGAGUGUAGAGGUGAAAUUCGUAGAUAUUCGGAAGAACACCAGUGGCGAAGGCGACACACUGGCCCGUUACUGACGCUGAGGCGCGAAAGCGUGGGGAGCAAACAGG